CAAGACAUCUUUUUGUUAAACUAAAAAUGCGAAUUCUCUUGGCUUCUGGUUCCAACUACGCUCUUGGAAUUCUGUUCUUCAGUUGCGCAGCUUCAAAUUUUAUCUCAAAACCUUACCCCGCUGAUGCUGUAAAAUUGCCAUACCCUACAUGAUCACAGAGACUUAUCGCUGAACUGCCACUUAGGCACACGAGUGGGCUAAAUUGCGGAAAUUCUUCCAUGUCGAAUCACGAUUCUAUCUCGACAAGCUGUACUGGACAUGUUGCUGAAAACGAGGUUGCCAGAAGUUGUACGCUGCUUACUCGAUAUUUGCUUUUCAUUGUGCUCGAUAUCAUAUAUGCAAGUGUGUACUCCGCACUCGUAAUAGGCAUGCUCAUGUGUUUUUCACGAAUCAGUGCCCAUGAUUUUAGAUACAACAGAUACAAUUUUUACAACAGACGAGAUUCAUUUCACGAGGUUUUCUUUUGCUUCGAUAGGAUGUUUUGUGUCAACAUCAUUACUGACCUCUGACCGCAUGUCUCCUCAGAUAUAUUAGAAAUAUCCCAAGGCAUGCGAGAGAGCUUCAUGCAGAUCAAUCAAUCUCUGACUCUCCCCUGUUCGUGUUUUGUUUAUCGACUACGUGCAUUCAGAAUUCAUAAUUUGUAGCGAAUGGCACUCUUCACGAAGCACUGGACUUUACAUGGAUUAGUUCUCUCUCAGUUAAGUUUAAUGUCUGCUUCGUUUUAUAUGCUGUCAUUCUUUCUUAGUGGUUGAAUCUGAAACCCUAAAUCCCCUAAGUCAACAGGUAUCGUGGUUGUAUCUUCGUCACCGAUCACCUAUGACCCAUAUUAAAGCAGUAUGGUCCCUUUAAAGUUGCAGAAACAGAUUCCCUACCAAGUAAAUUCUGGUUAGAGAAACUGAGAUUGGCAAAAUCGACUGGAGGUAAAAUACUCAUAUCAGUACGAGUCCCUUGCCUUGGACUCAUCCUGAUCACACCAGCUCUCUUUUGAGUUUGUAACAUAAUGACUUCACUUAAAAGUGAUAUUCUGGUGUCCUUGCAAUCGGUGAGCGGUAUGUCCACUGGUUUUGCUUCUCCUCACAAUUGCGUGAUGAUGAACUGAUGAUGGAGAUCUAUCCGUGCUUUUCCUGAGCUGCUACUGCCACUGCCUUAUGUCCUAUUUGUUUUAUGUGUGGACUGGGAGAAUCGUUUGAGCCCCGACUGAGAGUCUUAUAUAUUGCUUGUUUAUUGAAACGAAACUGAAAAGGAUAUUUCUUGGGACAGCCCUUGAGAAGUCUGUCAAGCUACUGCUCUCUUUGGUCUGAGAGUGACCAUAAUUGCUGCACACGUGCCGGAGAACAGCGACCCACUGCUCAAGUAGCUAAGUUUCGGGAUCUUGGGUGAUCAUGAGAGAUUGGCAGCCAUCUCUUCACCAAAUGCCAGAACUCUUUUUGUUGUGAUGCAUGAGCACUUGAACACCAUGAGCUUUCCCACUAACAGCAGCUUGAUGUUUUGGCUGUGGUGUCUGGCAUGUGCACAGGAAACCUCUACAAUCCUCUCUUCACCAUAGACUCAGGAAACACGAAACCAUCAGUGAGUCCCAUAACAAGGUUCAGUGACACUCGUUCUGCGUUUGGCUAUGUAGUGAUUUCGCAACAUAGGUGUUAAUGCCCCGUCUCACUUUUGCAACUUAUGCGACAUGGUUGGUGAAAUGGAGAUAGAUGGGGAAAAAGUGGGAGCCAUUUCUACUUGAGACUCGACACCAGCGUUCAACCGGCACACAUGUGUUGCCUCCUCUCACAUUAAAUUUUAGACUGGUCUGAUACUGAUAGCUCAAGCUCAAACCAAACUUGAAGUCUGGUUAGAUAUACUCCGUAACCGUUUCUUAAGCUGAUGACUUUUUACCCACCCUCUGAUUUAGAGCAAGUUGUCAUCGAUUGGUACCACAUACUUUGACUGGAUGUCAUAUUCUGGAUUUUUAUUUUUAUUUUUUCUUCUUCUUUUACUGUAAUUAA